AUGAAAAGUUUAUUGAAAUGUAGCAAGAGUCCCAAAGACAAAUUCCAGGCAUGUCACGGGCCAGCGCUGGGCGUCCUUUUGCUCUCUCGGGUCAGUCUCGGGUCAGCUUUAGGGUCCCUGUUUUCACCCCAUUUACCGGGACUAUCAGGGAGAAAGGCCGAGAAACAAGUCUUUUGGAGAGGACGGGGGUCCUUGAGUAGGGACGACACGCCGGGGCGUGCCGCUGCGGGGAGAGCCCGCGAGGGCGCUCCCGGGUGGGGGGGCCCGCACAGACGCGUCCUCCGCGGGGCCCGCGCCGCGCCGAGGGAAUGCCGCCCCGGGAGAGGCCCGUCCGGAAAGCGCGUCCGCCCGGCCGGGUCUGGCGGAGUGGGGGCGCACGCCGGGGGGCGGGGGCCAAUGCAGAGGGAAAACCACGCCGAGGUUCGCUCCGGCUCCCCGGGGGCCGCGUCCUGCUGUCCGCAGAGCCCAGGGGUCCCUGCGGGCUUGCGGCGCGGGACGACGCGCGACCUCGGGGCGCCCUGGCGGGCCGGGCGGGAUGUGGGCCGGGGAAGCCGCCCGCCGCCGCGGGCAGCAAGGACCGCCCUGCGCUCGGGCUCCACUCACCUGCGAGCCGCCACCGCCGCCGGAAGCGCUCCCGCUCCGCCCUCCGCCGGUCCGCGCCUCUCCGCCUUCCCCAGCCACUUCCGGGACGCUCUAGGCGGCCGGAGGACUCGCUUCUCGGUGGCGCUACGGGAGGCGCUGGGCCCCGGGGCGGGAGAUCCUCGCGGGGAUGGCCGGGGCCGGGGGGCGGUCUGCGCCUCGACGUGGUCGUCUGCAGGGACCCCCUUCCAGGUGGGGGUUCCCGACGGGGGACGGGCAGUGACUUAGCCCCUUCCCGUGGCGAAAGCCAGUGGCCAAGGCUGUUUUCUUCCUGCCCGUCCUGCUGCUUCGCUGGCGCCUCCUCCAUCCCUAGUUGAGACGACCUGGACGAUGAGAUGCAGCGCUUCUGAGCUGGUGAGACCUGGGCUUGAGUUGAUGCUGUAAUGAGUCGAGACUUUGGGGGACCCUGGGAUGGGUGAAUGUAUUUUGCUUGUGUGACGAAUAUGAAUCUUUGGGGACCAGAGGACAGACUGUGGUGGACUGAAUAAUGCUCUGCCCAAGGAUGUCCACACCCUAAACCCAGAAUGUGUGAAUACACAACAAAGGGACUUUGCAGGUGCGAUUGAGAUUCUUGAGAUGGAAGAUGAUCCUGGUGGGCCCGCUGUCAUGACAGGGUCCUCAUAAGAGGGAAGAAGGAGUAUCAGGGUCAGAGAAGACAAUGCGAUGAUGGGAGCAGCGGGAGAAAAGGAGAGAUGACAACAGACACGGGUUAGAGCGUGUGCUUUGUAGGUGAGGGGAGGGCCGCAAGCCAAGUAGAGCAGGAGCCUCUAGAAGCUGGAAAAGGCGAGGACACAGAUUCUCUCCUGGAGCCUCCAGAAGGAACCAGCCCUGCUGACACCUUGGUUUUAGCUCCAUAAGACUCAUUUCAGACUUCUGCCCUCCAGAACUGUAAGCUAAUAAAUGUGUGCUGUUUUCAGCCCCCA
rnacentral:lncRNA from 1 species